UAGUGAAGACUGUGGCCAUUAAUCUUCUGCCCUCCAUAGACCCUUGCUAAUGUCAAUAAAAUGGUCUAAUGGUACACAUAUAAGGUAAAAAUGUGUCCCAGUACUGAAGGGUUAAAAUCCAUUGAGUUUUAUCAUUGUAACUGCAAAAAUAAGGUUAAGAAGACUGUUUCAUCAUAUAUAGAGCCGAGUGUGCAUACUAUUUAAAAAUCGGACAUUAAAAGCAACCCUAACAGUAAAUAAACUCGUGAAGAAAUAAGAGUGAAAAAGUAACAAUAGUAAUAAUGAGAAUCGUAAAAAAGAAUAAAUGAAUAAUAUGUAGAGCCGAAUGUACAUACUAUAUCAAAACAAAACAUUAAAACCAACUAUAGUAAUAACUAAACCCAUGAAUAAAUGAAGAUGUAAAAGUUGAACAUAACCAAAAUCAUAAAGAAAAGAAAUAAAUAGAGAAUGAAGGAGCCGAAAGUACACACUAUUCAAACCAAAGCAUUAAAACCAACAAUAAUAAAUAAACCCAUAAAAAAAUAAAGAAAUAAAAACCAACAAUAAUAAUCUUAAUCAUAAAAGGAAAUAAAUAAAUAAAAAGAGCCGAAAGUAAUAAGAAAAUCGAAACUGCUCUUCCUUGUACACCAACCAAAACAAACCCAGCCGGCCGAGGGGAAUUUUGUCUUUUUUCCCUUUAUUUCCCUGUAACGAUCUUGCUGCGUCACUGCCACUUGUUCCCCUCGCGGCCCGCCCUCAUGUGAAGAUCGCACUUUCAAGAGAAGACGCGCUACCGAAUUGGCCGUGCAGCAGCUCAGGGAGGAGGAAGGUGCCUGAAGGAACAUUGUGGGAAAGUGACGCAAGACAGUGAGAGAGAGAGAGAGAGAGAGAGAGAGAGAGAGAGAGAGAAAGGAGAAAAACAAGAGAAA